GUGGGGAAUUUUGGACAAUGGGCGCAAGCCUGAUCCAGCAAUGCCGCGUGCAGGAAGAAGGCCUUCGGGUUGUAAACUGCUUUUGUACGGAACGAAACGGUCCGGGUUAAUACCCUGGGCUAAUGACGGUACCGUAAGAAUAAGCACCGGCUAACUACGUGCCAGCAGCCGCGGUAAUACGUAGGGUGCAAGCGUUAAUCGGAAUUACUGGGCGUAAAGCGUGCGCAGGCGGUUUUGUAAGACAGGCGUGAAAUCCCUGGGCUCAACCUGGGAAUUGCGCUUGUGACUGCAAGGCUGGAGUGCGGCAGAGGGGGAUGGAAUUCCGCGUGUAGCAGUGAAAUGCGUAGAUAUGCGGAGGAACACCAAUGGCGAAGGCAAUCCCCUGGGCCUGUACUGACGCUCAUGCACGAAAGCGUGGGGAGCAAACAGGAUUAGAUACCCGGGUAGUCC
rnacentral:rRNA from 1 species